rnacentral:lncRNA from 1 species
CUAAGAGCGGAAUUGAUUGGUCAUGGAGUCUGAAUGAACCAACUGAGACUCAAGAGAGGUGGUAACUCUGCAAGUUCACUCCCUUGAGAAGUAGCAGAGCCAGGAUUCAGACCUAGUCUGCAGUCAAGGAUCUUCCCCACAGUAUCAUAAUCCCACCAAACAGCCCAUGGAUGAAAAGGAAAAUGAGUGCCUUCCCAGCACUCCCCGAACAAACAGGGCAGACCUCAGAUCCCUACACCUCAGGCGCCAGCUACGCGAGAAUCUCCAAGCCCCAUCUCGGGAUGUGUAGGAGUCUAGCCGUCCAGAGCCCCUCAGCCUGAGCCCCUCUCCUUGAAUGCAGCCAGCCCAGAGGAAAACAGAGGUAGCCGGGAUUGAAGCCCACCCUACUGUGAAGGCCUAAAGAAACAGCCUCAGGAGCUGAUCUGCGAUAAGAUGUCUUCUGCCCGGAAACAAAAGGCCCGGCAGGAUGAUCUGCAUCCCCUCAUUAUCUGGGAUUUGAGAAUUCUGAUUGAGUUUCUGAAGAGCUAGCUGCAGAGACCCAGGGUGGGGACUAGGUUGACUCUCUGGACGUUUUGGCCUGUCCUUCCCUUACUCAAGAGUACACUCCCCCAGCCUGGACCCCUUGGUGGUGUGGGAGGAAAGGCCACAGACUUGGCCAGGUAGGGUGGCUCAUAUCUGUAAACCCAACACUUUGGGAGGCCAAGGCGGGCAGAUCACCUGAGGUUGGGAGUUUGAGACCAGCCUGACCAAAAUGGAGAAACCCCAUCUCUACUAAAAAUACAAAAUUAGCUGGGCAUGGUGGCACAUGCCUGUAAUCCUAGCUACUAGGGAGGCUGGGGCAGGAGGAUCACUUGCACCCAGGAGGCAGAAGUUGUGGUGAGCCGAGAUCGCGCCAUUGCACUCCAGCCUGGGCAACAAGAGCGAAACUCUGUCUCAAAAAAAAAGAAAAGACAACAGACUUGACAAAGACCUGAUUGGGUCUCUGGGGAGACUGCAGCUGUGGGCCCCCAAUCCCACCCUGCAUUCCAGAACUGCCCAGGAAAGUUGGCUCUCAGGAGGUUACUGAGUAAUCGCUGAGCAGAAAUGUAAUGAUAGGAUUGGACUUUUGUCUGUUUUGAGGGGAGCCUGUUAUUUGGCUGCUUCUGUUCCUGGGGGACAGGUGUGAGGUGUGGUUAUUAGAUGACGGAGUGGAGGCUGAGUAUCAACAGUACAGAGUGCUGAGCUGGACAGAGGAUGAGGCCCUGCCCCUGCCUCAGGGAGCUCAGCGUCAAAAGCUGCCAGGCUGAUGAGAUGAAACUGGCAGGUUUGGUGGGACUGCUCACUGCUGAACCUAGACCUUCUAAAGACUCCUCCUCCCACCCCUAUGAACAAGCCCAAGAGGGGACAGUGUUAUUGCUCUCAUGCUGCAGAUAAAGAAGCUGACUCAGAAGCUCUCCCCGUAUAUGCCAAGCCUUUUCUUUUCUUUUUUCUUUUUUUUUGAGACAGAGUUUCCUCUUGUUGCCCAGGCUAGAGUGCAAUGGUGCGAUCUCAGCUCACCGCAACCUCUGCCUCCUGGGUUCAAGCUAGUCUCCCACCUCAGCCUCUCAAGUAGCUGGGAUUACAGGCACCCACC